GAUGAACGCUGGCGGCGUGCCUAAUACAUGCAAGUCGAGCGAACGGACGAGAAGCUUGCUUCUCUAAUGUUAGCGGCGGACGGGUGAGUAACACGUGGAUAACCUACCUAUAAGACUGGGAUAACUUCGGGAAACCGGAGCUAAUACCGGAUAAUAUUUUGAACCGCAUGGUUCAAAAGUGAAAGACGGUCUUGCUGUCACUUAUAGAUGGAUCCGCGCUGCAUUAGCUAGUUGGUAAGGUAACGGCUUACCAAGGCAACGAUGCAUAGCCGACCUGAGAGGGUGAUCGGCCACACUGGAACUGAGACACGGUCCAGACUCCUACGGGAGGCAGCAGUAGGGAAUCUUCCGCAAUGGGCGAAAGCCUGACGGAGCAACGCCGCGUGAGUGAUGAAGGUCUUCGGAUCGUAAAACUCUGUUAUUAGGGAAGAACAUAUGUGUAAGUAACUGUGCACAUCUUGACGGUACCUAAUCAGAAAGCCACGGCUAACUACGCG
rnacentral:rRNA from 1 species